AGGGUGAGUGACAGAGUUGAAAGGGCAGAUGGAAGGCCUUUGAAGCAGCGACUGCUGGUGGUGGCCAAUAGGCUCCCGGUCUCUGCAGUCAGGAGAGGUGAAGACUCUUGGUCUCUAGAGAUAAGUGCUAGGGGUGUGGUCAGUGCCCUUCUGGGUGUGAAGGAGUUUGAGGCGAGAUGGAUAUGAUGGGUUGGAGUAAAUGUGCCAGAUGAGAUUGGACAGAAAGCACUUACUAAAGCAUUGGCUGAAAAGAGGUGUAUUCCUGUAUUCCUUGAUGAGGACAUCGUUCAUCAAUACUACAAUGGCUAUUGCAACAACAUCUUGUGGCCUCUUUUUCAUUACCUUGGACUUCCACAAGAAGACCGCCUGGCCACCACCAGGAGUUUCCAGUCUCAGUUUGCUGCAUAUAUAAAGGCAAAUCAAAUGUUUGCUGAGGUUGUAAACAAACACUAUAAGGAUGGAGAUGUUGUGUGGUGCCAUGACUACCGUCUCAUGUUUCUUCCAAAGUGCCUAAAGGACCGCAACAGUGGAAUGAAAGUCAGUUGGUUUCUCCGCACACCCUUCCCUUCUUCUGAAAUCUGCAGGACACUUCCAUCUCGAUCAGAUCUGCUGCAUGCAGUUCUGGCUGCUGAUUUGGUUGGGUGAGUUUUUGUUGUAUUUUGCAUGUUGCUUAGAACUGAUGAAUUUUACUCAGAAACUCAAUUUUGGUUGUCAUGAAUGUUUCUCAUAGUAAGGUUAUAGCUAGGUUAUUCUUUGAUCCGAUGAAUGCUAUAGUUAAUAACCUAAAAGACGAUA